rnacentral:rRNA from 1 species
AGCGUACACGGUGGAUGCCCUGGCAGUCAGAGGCGAUGAAGGACGUGCUAAUCUGCGAAAAGCGUCGGUAAGGUGAUAUGAACCGUUACAGCCGGCGAUGUCCGAAUGGGGAAACCCAGUGCAAUUCGUUGCACUAUCGUUAACUGAAUACAUAGGUUAACGAGGCGAACCGGGGGAACUGAAACAUCUAAGUACCCCGAGGAAAAGAAAUCAACCGAGAUUCCCCCAGUAGCGGCGAGCGAACGGGGAGCAGCCCAGAGUCUGAAUCAGCUUGUGUGUUAGUGGAACGGUCUGGAAAGUCCGACGGUACAGGGUGAUAGUCCCGUACACCAAAAUGCACAGGUUGUGAACUCGAAGAGUAGGGCGGGACACGUGGUAUCCUGUCUGAAUAUGGGGGGACCAUCCUCCAAGGCUAAAUACUCCUGACUGACCGAUAGUGAACCAGUACCGUGAGGGAAAGGCGAAAAGAACCCCGGCGAGGGGAGUGAAAAAGAACCUGAAACCGUGUACGUACAAGCAGUGGGAGCACCUUCGGGUGUGACUGCGUACCUUUUGUAUAAUGGGUCAGCGACUUAUAUUCUGUAGCAAGGUUAACCGUAUAGGGGAGCCGCAGGGAAACCGAGUCUUAACUGGGCGUUAAGUUGCAGGGUAUAGACCCGAAACCCGGUGAUCUAGCCAUGGGCAGGUUGAAGGUUGGGUAACACUAACUGGAGGACCGAACCGACUAAUGUUGAAAAAUUAGCGGAUGACUUGUGGCUGGGGGUGAAAGGCCAAUCAAACCGGGAGAUAGCUGGUUCUCCCCGAAAGCUAUUUAGGUAGCGCCUCGUGAACUCAUCUUCGGGGGUAGAGCACUGUUUCGGCUAGGGGGUCAUCCCGACUUACCAACCCGAUGCAAACUACGAAUACCGAAGAAUGUUAUCACGGGAGACACACGGCGGGUGCUAACGUCCGUCGUGAAGAGGGAAACAACCCAGACCGCCAGCUAAGGUCCCAAAGUCACAGUUAAGUGGGAAACGAUGUGGGAAGGCACAGACAGCCAGGAUGUUGGCUUAGAAGCAGCCAUCAUUUAAAGAAAGCGUAAUAGCUCACUGGUCGAGUCGGCCUGCGCGGAAGAUGUAACGGGGCUAAACUGUGCACCGAAGCUGCGGCAGCGACACUAUGUGUUGUUGGGUAGGGGAGCGUUCUGUAAGCCUGCGAAGGUGGCCUGUGAGGGUUGCUGGAGGUAUCAGAAGUGCGAAUGCUGACAUAAGUAACGAUAAUGCGGGUGAAAAGCCCGCACGCCGGAAGACCAAGGGUUCCUGUCCAACGUUAAUCGGGGCAGGGUGAGUCGACCCCUAAGGCGAGGCCGAAAGGCGUAGUCGAUGGGAAACAGGUUAAUAUUCCUGUACUUGGUGUUACUGCGAAGGGGGGACGGAGAAGGCUAUGUUAGCCGGGCGACGGUUGUCCCGGUUUAAGCAUGUAGGCGGAGGUUCCAGGUAAAUCCGGUACCUUUUAACGCUGAGGUGUGAUGACGAGGCACUACGGUGCUGAAGUAACAAAUGCCCUGCUUCCAGGAAAAGCCUCUAAGCAUCAGGUAACAUUGAAUCGUACCCCAAACCGACACAGGUGGUCAGGUAGAGAAUACCAAGGCGCUUGAGAGAACUCGGGUGAAGGAACUAGGCAAAAUGGUGCCGUAACUUCGGGAGAAGGCACGCUGAUAUGUAGGUGAAGCCCCUGCGGGUGGAGCUGAAAUCAGUCGAAGAUACCAGCUGGCUGCAACUGUUUAUUAAAAACACAGCACUGUGCAAACACGAAAGUGGACGUAUACGGUGUGACGCCUGCCCGGUGCCGGAAGGUUAAUUGAUGGGGUUAUCCGUAAGGAGAAGCUCUUGAUCGAAGCCCCGGUAAACGGCGGCCGUAACUAUAACGGUCCUAAGGUAGCGAAAUUCCUUGUCGGGUAAGUUCCGACCUGCACGAAUGGCGUAAUGAUGGCCAGGCUGUCUCCACCCGAGACUCAGUGAAAUUGAACUCGCUGUGAAGAUGCAGUGUACCCGCGGCAAGACGGAAAGACCCCGUGAACCUUUACUAUAGCUUGACACUGAACAUUGAGCCUUGAUGUGUAGGAUAGGUGGGAGGCUUUGAAGCGUGGACGCCAGUCUGCGUGGAGCCAACCUUGAAAUACCACCCUUUAAUGUUUGAUGUUCUAACGUUGGCCCCUUAUCGGGGUUGCGGACAGUGUCUGGUGGGUAGUUUGACUGGGGCGGUCUCCUCCCAAAGAGUAACGGAGGAGCACGAAGGUUAGCUAAUCCUGGUCGGACAUCAGGAGGUUAGUGCAAUGGCAUAAGCUAGCUUGACUGCGAGCGUGACGGCGCGAGCAGGUGCGAAAGCAGGUCAUAGUGAUCCGGUGGUUCUGAAUGGAAGGGCCAUCGCUCAACGGAUAAAAGGUACUCCGGGGAUAACAGGCUGAUACCGCCCAAGAGUUCAUAUCGACGGCGGUGUUUGGCACCUCGAUGUCGGCUCAUCACAUCCUGGGGCUGAAGUAGGUCCCAAGGGUAUGGCUGUUCGCCAUUUAAAGUGGUACGCGAGCUGGGUUUAGAACGUCGUGAGACAGUUCGGUCCCUAUCUGCCGUGGGCGCUGGAGAAUUGAGGGGGGCUGCUCCUAGUACGAGAGGACCGGAGUGGACGCAUCACUGGUGUUCGGGUUGUCAUGCCAAUGGCAUUGCCCGGUAGCUAAAUGCGGAAGAGAUAAGUGCUGAAAGCAUCUAAGCACGAAACUUGCCCCGAGAUGAGUUCUCCCUGACUCCUUGA